rnacentral:rRNA from 1 species
CUGGUUGAUCCUGCCAGACCCGACUGCUAUCGGAUUGGGACUAAGCCAUGCGAGUCAACUCCGCAAGGGGUGGCGCACGGCUCAGUAACACGUAGUCAACCUACCCUGGGGACGGGGAUAACCUCGGGAAACUGAGGCUAAACCCCGAUGGGCCAUGGCUCCUGGAAUGGGCUAUGGCUGAAAUCUACAUGGCCCCAGGAUGGGACUGCGGCCGAUCAGGUUGUUGGUGGGGUAAUGGCCCACCAAGCCUAUAACCGGUGCGGGCUCUGAGAGGAGGAGCCCGGAGAUGGGCACUGAGACAAGGGCCCAGGUCCUAUGGGGCGCAGCAGGCGCGAAACCUCCGCAAUGGGCGAAAGCCCGACGGGGUCAGUCCGAGUGGUUCCCGCUGAGGGAACCUUUUGCCAGCUGUAAACAGGCUGGCGAAUAAGGGGUGGGCAAGUUUGGUGUCAGCCGCCGCGGUAAUACCAGCACCCCGAGUGGUCGGGACGAUUAUUGGGCCUAAAGCAUCCGUAGCCGGCCCAGUAAGUCCUCCGUUAAAUCCAACGGCUCAACCGUUGGGCUGCGGGGGAUACUGCUGGGCUAGGGGACGGGAGAGGCGAGGGGUAUUCCCGGGGUAGGGGUAAAAUCCACUGAUCCCGGGAGGACCACCAGUGGCGAAGGCGCCUCGCUAGAACGUGCCCGACGGUGAGGGAUGAAAGCUGGGGGAGCGAACCGGAUUAGAUACCCGGGUAGUCCCAGCCGUAAACGAUGUAGGCUCGGUGUUGGGCUGCCUCGGUGGCAGCCCAGUGCCGCAGGGAAGCCGUUAAGCCUACCGCCUGGGGAGUACGGCCGCAAGGCUGAAACUUAAAGGAAUUGGCGGGGGAGCACCAC